rnacentral:rRNA from 1 species
ACGGCUAUACAUUGCUGAAUAUACCGGUUCUCGUUCGAUCACCGAAGUCAAGCAUCAUCGGGCACGGUCAGUACUUGGGAGGGUGACCACCUAGGAACAUCGCUUGCCGU